rnacentral:rRNA from 1 species
GACGAACGCUGGCGGCGUGCUUAACACAUGCAAGUCGAACGGAAAGGCCCUGCUUUUGUGGGGUGCUCGAGUGGCGAACGGGUGAGUAACACGUGAGUAACCUGCCCUUGACUUUGGGAUAACUUCAGGAAACUGGGGCGAAUACCGCAUAGGAGCUCCUGCUGCAUGGUGGGGGUUGGAAAGUUUCGGCGGUUGGGGAUGGACUCGCGGCUUAUCAGCUUGUUGGUGGGGUAGUGGCUUACCAAGGCUUUGACGGGUAGCCGGCCUGGGAGGGUGACCGGCCACAUUGGGACUGAGAUACGGCCCAGACUCCUACGGGAGGCAGCGGUGGGGAAUAUUGCACAAUGGGCGGAAGCCUGAUGCAGCAUCUCCGCGUGCGGGAUGACGGCCUUCGGGUUGUAAACCGCUUUCGCCUGUGACGAAGCGUGAGUGACGGUAAUGGGUAAAGAAGCACCGGCUAACUACGUG